rnacentral:rRNA from 1 species
AUACGUAGGGUGCAAGCGUUAAUCGGAAUUACUGGGCGUAAAGCGUGUGUAGGCGGUUCGGAAAGAAAGAUGUGAAAUCCCAGGGGCUCAACCUUGGAACUGCUAUUUUUAACUGCCGAGCUAGAGUAUGUCAGAGGGGGGUAGAAUUCCACGUGUAGCAGUGAAAUGCGUAGAUAUGUGGAGGAAUACCGAUGGCGAAGGCAGCCCCCUGGGAUAAUACUGACGCUCAGACACGAAAGCGUGGGGAGC